AUUGAACGCUGGCGGCAGGCCUAACACAUGCAAGUCGAGCGAGCGGCGGACGGGUGAGUAAUGUCUGGGAAACUCCCUGCUGGAGGGGGAUAACUACUGGAAACGGUAGCUAAUACCCCAUACCCUCUGAUGUGCCCAGAUGGGAUUAGCUGGUAGGUGGGGUAACGGCUCACCUAGGCGACGAUCCCUAGCUGGUCUGAGAGGAGGACCAGCCACACUGGAACUGAGACACGGUCCAGACUCCUACGGGAGGCAGCAGUGGGGAAUAUUGCACAAUGGGCGCAAGCCUGAUGCAGCCAUGCCGCGUGUGUGAAGAAGGCCUUCGGGUUGUAAAGCACUUUCAGCGGGGAGGCGUUACCCGCAGAAGAAGCACCGGCUAACUCCGUGCCAGCAGCCGCGGUAAUAC
rnacentral:rRNA from 1 species